ACGCCAAAGAACUACGAGCGCAAGCUUAAAACUUAAAGGACUUGACGGUGUCCCAUCUACCUAGAGGAGCCUGUUCUAUAAUCGAUAAUCCUCGUUAUAUCUCACCUUUUUUAGCUUAUCAGUCUGUAUACUUCCGUCGUAAGCUUACCAUAUGAAUGUAUUAGUAAGUUAAAUAGUAAUAACAAUUACCAAAACGUCAGGUCAAAGUGCAGCCAACAAAAAGGGAAGAAAUGGGCUACAAUUUCUACUUAAGAACAUACGAAUUUAAGUAACUGAAAACUACUAUGAAGGCGGAUUUAGAAGUAAAAUGAAAAUAAAGUGUUCAUUUUAACAAUGCUCUGGGACGUGU
rnacentral:rRNA from 1 species